AGUAAACCACUGACCAAUCCUUAUCCAACUGUCACUAAUAAUUCACCAAGGAACAACAAAAAUAUCAUCAUGAAGACUGUCGUCUGCUUCUGUGUCACGUUAGUUGUGAUGUGCAUUGCGAUCGCCAACCAAAGAGCCGAGGCUUAUCACUGGUUUGGGAGAUCUCAAGCAGUUUCCAACUCAGACGCGUCUUCAGACUCUGAUACAAAGUUGGUCUCUUUGUUGCGCCGGCUCUACGAUGCAGACACCAAAGACGAGAACUUAUCAAAGGCCGCCUCCAAAGACGUUUCGAAAAAAGCCCAAUCCAGUGCCGAAGAUACAUUAAAACAUGUCUACGCAGUGCUGAGAGAUUAUUAUGAAAAGAAAACCAUCUGAGAAUGUAUCCAUGAUUGUAAACUUUCAGAGAUAUUUUAUAUACUCAGCAUAAUAAAGGACAUGUGAUCUCUCUAUGCACUGCUGACACCUAGUGGACAACACAGAAAGCACAUCACGACAGCCUGUGGCACAAGUUUUAUUCGUAGAAAAAGUUGUAGAUGACAACUCAAGAAGUAUAGUUGCUUUUACUGAACAUGGUAUAAACACCUGUAUUCAUUUUCUGCCUGCUUUUCUUCCAAGUGUAAACUAUCAAGACUCGAGACAAAAAACAGAAAAAGAAGAAAAAAGGACAAGACACUCCACUGAUUCUAACAAAAAGACUUGUAUUUUGAAACUUUAUUUGUUUGCAUGCAUAUGCUUAUUAUGAUAAAGAUGAAACGUUUCAAGAAAGUUUUACCUUUGUGAAACCAUCAAAUAAGACUUCACAAA